UCUCCUACGGGGCGCAGCAGUGGGGAAUAUUGCACAAUGGGGGAAACCCUGAUGCAGCGACGCCGCGUGAGUGAAGAAGUAUUUCGGUACGUAAAGCUCUAUCAGCAGGGAAGAAAAAAAGUCCUUUGGACUUUGGACGGUACCUGACUAAGAAGCCCCGGCUAACUACGUGCCAGCAGCCGCGGUAAUACGUAGGGGGCAAGCGUUAUCCGGAUUUACUGGGUGUAAAGGGAGCGUAGACGGCGGAACAAGUCAGAAGUGAAAACCCGGGGCUCAACCCUGGGAGUGCUUUUGAAACUGUUUGG
rnacentral:rRNA from 1 species